AUUGAACGCUGGCGGCAUGCCUAACACAUGCAAGUCGAGCGGAGCUGCUGACGGGUGAGUCAUGCCUAGGAAUCUGCCUGGUAGUGUGGUAUAACGUCCGGAAACGGGCUCUCUUCCCGCACACUCUCAGAUGAGCCUAGGUCUGAUUAGCUCGUUGGUGGGGUAAAGGCCUACCAAGGCGGCGAUCAGUAACUGGUCUGAGAGGAUGAUCAGUCACACUGGAACUGGGACACUGUCCAGAAUCCUAAGUGAGGCAGCAUUGGGGAAUAUUGGAGAAUGAGCGAAAGCCUGAACCAGCCAAGCCGCGUGUGUGAAGAAGGUCUUCGGAUUGUAAAGCACUAUAAGUUGGGAGGCGUUACCAACAGAAUAAGCACCGGCUAACUUCGUGCCAGCAGCCGCGGUAAUAC
rnacentral:rRNA from 1 species